rnacentral:tRNA from 1 species
CCAGCUGUGGGCCAGUGGCUAGGCCACCUCAUUUGGGAUGAGGAUGACGGGGGUUCGAGUCCCUCCAGCUGGACCA